CCCUCCCUUGAGAUGAUUACUGAUGCUAUAUUCUAUUUCUUUUAGAAAAAUUCCAUUUGGUUCCAUAGACUAUUCUUCUUGAGCUCUUCUUUCAUUUUCUUUGAUUUGUAUAACUUUUUUGGAGUACAUGAGUAGGAUGAAUUAUUGUUUUCUUUUUUUUUUUUUCUCUUCUUCACACAAUAGUAAUGGUAUCAUUGUGUAGGAUUCAUCACAAGGAAGCAUUGCAUUAUAUAAACUAAAGUUGAGCAU
rnacentral:lncRNA from 1 species